UUUUAUACUAUUUUCAUAUAACAACUUUUGACUCCAGAUUAUACAAUUUUCAACAGGUUACCUAAUCUAUGGUGGGCCAUUCUACUAUGUUGGGCCAUUCUAAUACUCUGUCAAGUUAGAGCAACCAAAAGAAGUAAAAUCAGACAUAUAAUUAACUUGUGCAAUUUGGGAUUAUUUUGUUGUGUAUAGAAAAAUUAAUUUCCCCAAAAAAUUGCACAGAUUGAAGUGUUGAUUUAACUUAUUUACGUUGCUCUAACUUGACCAAGGUAUCAGGAUGUCCUACCAAAGAUAAGGAUACCUGUAAAAAAACAAGAAUGUGUCCACAGUACACAGAUGUCCCACUCGCACUAUCAUUUUCUAUGUUCAGUGAACUGUAAAAUUGGGGUCAAAACUCUAAUUUAGCAUUUAAAUUAAAAAGAUCAUAUCAUAGGGAACAUGUAUACUAAGUUUCAAGUUGAUUGGACUUCAACUUCAUCAAAAACUACCUUGACCAAAAACUUUAACCUGAAGCGGGACAAACAGACAGACGAACGUACAGACGAACUGACGCACAGACCAGAAAACAUAAUGCCCCUCUACUAUCGUAGGUGGGGCAUAAAAAACUUCUGGAGUCAAAAGUCUGUAUUAAUCUGAAAAUAGUCGAAUAGAUCAUGCUUUACUAGAAUGCUGAAAAUUUAAAUGGUGCAUCGUCAAUUAUUUUUUGCUCCAUUAGUAUUAUGCUUUUUAUCUGAAAGUGCUACAGAUCUGUUAAUAUUGCUGACAUGGCGUUGUUAGUUGUUUUGGAUUUAUGAGUUUGACUGUCCCUUUGGUAUCUUUCGUCCCUUUUUUAUACCUUUUUUUGAGGAGAUCAACAUCUAAAAACAAGAAUGUAACAUACAGAAACCAAAACCUCUCUAAUUUAGAAACCUAUAUGUACUGAACCUUGGCAUUGAGGAAGACAAUGAAUGUCAUACAUUAGUUUGACUUGUGUGACCAAAAACCCAAAGUUCAAUCCUUGGGAAAGUCAAGGGCAUUACUUAAACUAGUCACUUAAUAAUUUAUACAAGUUAUGUUGACAAUGAUGCUCUUUUUAUGUCUAUAUAUGAGAAUUUCGGAUCAUUAUUAAUUUCUCAAAUUUCUCGAUCAGGAAUUACAGGGGAGCUGUUUCUCUUAUGGUGCUAGUAUAGAUUCUUAUUAAGCUGUUUUGUUCCAUGAUCCUUCAGUUCUGGGAGACAAAACAGUUAACAUUGAGACUAUCCCAUAACAUAUAGCCAGUCAAUUAUACUAUAAUCUUGGAUUGGUUUUUUUUUUAAGAAUGUUGUAUUUUUAUCAAACAAUAUUUGUGAUGUUUAUGCUUUUUAUGUUUCUUUGUCUUAUUCCAGUCAGAUAGUGACUACAAAUGCUCAUAGGAUUUUAACCAUGUUUACUCAAGAAUAUUUAUACAUUAUACAAAUUAUAAAUCAUUUAUAUGUAAAUUGUAGCUAGUCAGUUAUGACAAAUAUAUAUGAUUGGUUAAAUUUUAGCAAUCAUACCCUAUCUUUUUAUUUUGAUAUAUGAACUAUAAAAAUGUAAUAUUUUACUUUUGACAACAAAAAAAGUGACAAACAUUAAAAUAUUUUAUUUUAGCUGCCUUUCAUAGUUUUGUUCUGGAAGUAGAAUUGCAAUACAUGUAUAUGAUAUAUUUUGAUAUUAUUUAAACAAUGUAUCUAGUCUUCUAUUCAAUAAAGCUUUUUUGUUUUUAUCAGCAUAUUUGUUAAUGAUUAUGAAAUAUACAAACUACAAGAAACAUACAUUACAACUAUGUGUAAAUUCCGGGAUGCCCCUUAAUUAAAGAGGGACAAAAAUGUUCCUGAAAGUUUUUGCAUUGCCACUGGAUGUUGAGCUAACACUAAUUAACAAUUGUACGUACCAAAAAUACCAUUUGUAUAGUAGCUUUGAAUUCUUGGUUUUUUUUAAAUAAUCUCUUUAAAAAAAAUAUAAAAUCUGUCUAAUCUCUAACAAAAAGAAACUCUACAAUCACGUUCUCAGAAUAUUAACAAUAAUUUGCUUACGAACUGAUUGGUUCAAAGUGAUUAAGACAUAAACAAACAUUAAUUCUCACAUGAGCUCAUAUUUAAUGUGCAACAUACUAUAAAACAGUAAAGCUACUAGUACAAUUGUAUAUAUAUAUGUGAAUCCUCUAUCAUACUAUGUAUAUGAUGAACAUUAAAAAAAAACCUGUUACAUGUGGUAUCAAAUUCAUCAUCAAAUAAGGGAUCAGUCUUAUAUCAAACAUAAAUAAAUUUUCUAACACAUAAUUAAAUAUAAACA
rnacentral:lncRNA from 1 species